rnacentral:rRNA from 1 species
CACGUAGGGUGCGAGCGUUGUCCGGAAUUAUUGGGCGUAAAGAGCUCGUAGGCGGUGUGUCGCGUCUGCUGUGAAAACUCGAGGCUCAACCUCGGGCUUGCAGUGGGUACGGGCAGACUAGAGUGCGGUAGGGGUGACUGGAAUUCCGUGGUGUAGCGGUGAAAUGCGCAGAUAUCAGGAGGAACACCGGUGGGCGAAGGCGGGUCUCUGGGCCGUAAACUGACGCUGGAGGAGCGAAAGCGUGGGUAGCAAACAGG